CGUUUUGAGUGGGUCUAACAUAGAGGAGUGCACGUGCGUACGGUGCAGUAGCUGAGGACACACUGGUGGUUUCAGGGACAAUUGAUCAUUUUUCACAAAGCCGUGACCAAGCAGACUCAAUGGUACCUUACCGACAGCUGCGAUUUCGCUAUAGAUGCGUACGACCGGGCCACUUGAAGCCUCAUGCUUUACAUUGAAUCAAAAUACGUGUCGAGACGGGAAGAUAUGAACGAAACUGCAUUCACGUUCGUGCUUGCUGGAGAUACCUUGGUCUAUGGGCUCUGCUAAUCAAAUCGAGAGUACCGUUUGAAGAAUUAGAAUGCAAAAGUGUGCUUAAGACGAAAAAUCUCUCGUGUUUAUUUGACUCAUCGCUCUUCACGCUAUUACAUUUAUGGCGGUGAUGCGACGUCUCAGAACAGGUUUAAGAAAGAUUGGCUACAGGCAGUCUGGGAAAAAAAGCUGCCUCCCCUACUGGGUGGUCUUCGACCAAGGAAACAUACGGUUAGAGUUCCGGUCAGGUCUAAGGUUACUAUCUGCACGAUGCGGACAGGAACAACAAGUUGUCUAUUGACCUUCAUGAGCACUUUUGGAGCUGCACUGAUCGGGACCUGCUCGAUCUGGAGCGGCCUCGCUGACGAAAUUCAGGCAGACCAGAAUAGGGACUUCCAAUGCAGAAAGAAGCUAGACUAUUCACUUAUGUACUGAUGCAACAAGGUAAACAUCUAGACAGAAAAGAGCAAUACCUUAAGGACGGGCAUUGAGAAAAUUUAGUCUAAAACAUUAAAGCCAAAUGUUGUCCUGACAGUCAAACGAAGGUGACCGAUGAACCGAUGUCCGAUGGCCGAUGACCGUCCCCCUAUGAAAGCAAACGUGUACCAGUACUUCAUGUCAGCAAGUUCAGGUAACACAAAAUGAUUCGUAUGCACUUCGACGCUUACUUUCGUGAAGAAUUCUCAUUUUAGAGUGAGUCUUAUAUUGCAGCGAUAAGUUUAUUGACGAUUAUAUAUGCCCCACUAGUGUGCUUAACAGAUAGCUUUAAAGAGAUGCGCGGAACACUGCUGAUAAAAGUAUCGAUUCUUUAGAAUAGUCAUUGCGUUAUUGUUACAUUGCUUGAUGUUGCACUGUAUAUUGUUUGUCCUAUAACGAGCAAGG